GAGCCGCGGCGGGAGGCGGCCCCGGGGGCGCCCGGCUCUGCCCUGCGCUGCCGGGGGGCCGGUGCCGCCGCCUCGGCGCUUCUGGCGAGGACGAGCUUUUCUGAGCGGUUCGGAGGCGGCCGCGGCGGGAAGCGGAGCCGGGCCGGGAGCAGGAGGGCGCGGCGGGAGGAAGGCGGGACGGCGAGGGGCGGGAGCGGGACGGCGAGCGCUGCUAAGGCCGGCUGCGGGCCCGGGUGCGCUGGCCGGGCAGGUGCCUGCUCCCUGCCGUUUAAGCAUUGCAUCCGUAAUAUUUUUUGUAAGCGCUGCUCUUCUAAGUUAGGCUGAAGCCAUUGCGUGGUUACUUUGAGCUGCCCCAGAGGCAGGCGCCCUGUGGGAGGGGGUCUUUGGCAAGACGGCGGCUCCUUUGCGCUAAACUAAGCCAAGGCGGGGAGCGGCCCAGCUGAAAACUCGCUCAACAAAACCAGUUUCCAUCCGGAGCGGCUCCCUGAGGCACCUGGCCACCCCUUUCAGCACUCUCCUGUCUCUAGGGCAGCUCACAGAAAACGUGGGACCAGCUUUGGGUGGUUUAUGCCUCUGGGAGCUGAGACGCAGGUGGGCGUGCUGCCGCCCGUCCCAGCUCUGGGACCCCCAUCCCUCCCCUGCGCCAGCCCUGGGUGCGGCACAAGUGCAAGCCGGCUUGGGCAGCUGAUCCGUCUGACCGCCAAAUGCUUUUUCUGUUUCCUCCUGUGCUGGCUCACCAGCAGAUGCGACAAGGCAGUGCCAGCGCAAAAGAGGAACGUGCGAGAGCAGAGGGAGAACAUGACUGCAACAGCCAUCGCAGACACCAGCUUACGGGAAGGACACCCAGCUCCGCUCAUGAGCAUCUUCUGGAUCCGUUCGUCAGUGGAAGGUCACACGGGCUGGGACAGGGACACCUCUGCUGCUCCGAGUGACAUGGGCAUCACUCAUCUUGAGAACAGAAAUAAUGUCACUACUCAGAGAAGAGUGGUUUGGACAUACAUCAAGUAUGCUCAAUGCAAGGAUAAACGUGAGUGGCACACAAGGCUUGCAGUACUGCUAACCAAAAUCACUUCAUCACAAGAGUCUUAGCAGCAAAGUUGUUCUAAAGUAUCUGCAGGUGCCAAGGACAAAGCCGCAGCUUGACAAACACUAUGCCAAGACCGCCGCCAAAAGAAGCAGCUCUGCCCUCUCAUAUCACUGGAAAGAGAGAAGAGAACGAAAAGAAGCUUGAUCGUCUUAUUAAACUACAUCCUCUGAGAAAUAAGAAGGCUAUAACAGGAAUAAGCAGAGAGCAGAAAUCACGUGACAGACACUAAAUGAAUUUAACAAUUUGGUUGUGCUUCAGCAGAAAUUUCCCAUGGGUUAAGCAAUGAAACAUGACAGAGCAUGUGUUCGGAGGAGACAGUGCAGCCAUCACGUGGCCUUGGUGGCACUGGCAUGCUCCCAGUUGAGCGGGUUGUAAGAACAAGAAACAUUUUUUCACAAUUUGCACUGAGAUAAAAGACAUCCAAGAUUAGCUGGCAAUUUGUACCACGAUGGAGCUAUAUGGCUCAGUACUUAACCUCAAAUCAGCUUGCAGCUCAUCACUUUCUCUCAAGCAGAGACAACUAUUUGCUCAUUUUAAGGGUACGCAAUGGACUAAAUGUACACUCCAGGUGUCAGAACUUUUUUAGAUCUGCAUCCUGCCUCCCUUUGAAAUCUUUGAACCCUUUGGGUUCUUUGAAGUCCAUUUAUUUUGAGGAAAGCUUGUCUUGCCAACACUUCUAACUUUCCUGUCAAGCUAGGCAUGAAUUCUAAAGCUGCGAGUCUCCCGAGUGCAUCACGUGUUUUGCACAGGAAGAUGUUCCCAGAAGGUUUGUUACAAGAUGAUGUUAUCUGAACUUUUUUACCUGAAUGGAUUAAGAAAUGACUGAGAUUGUUGACCAAAUUUGAGAUGAAUUGGACCAAUUCUUAAAUCCAACGUCCUGGCGAAUUAGACAUCUUCCCAGAUACCGCAUUCUCUCAGGAGCUAGAUGUAUCUUCAAGAGUGGAGGAAUAUAUCUGGGAAGUCUGGCAAGUGAGGAGCACCCAUGUGCUCUCCUAGGAUGUGGCAGGUUCCCAACAUAUCUUAAAAGUUCGGCUGGCCAAGUGUGGCUCCCUGUGGCUGUAUCAAUACUGUGCGCAGAGGUAUUCCCAAUUUAAAGCCCCAUGGUAUAGCCAGAGUGGUAGAAAGUUGUCAUUACAUAAAUGGGGCCUUAAAAAGUCUGGAAAGAUUGGGUAUUUAUUGCUAGUGCUCUGCCCCGAGAAUCACUUUGCUGCAUUUUCCCCAGUGAAAAAGAGCCCUUUUCCAGAUGUGUUCAAACCUAGGAUUCCAAACCUUUUAUGAGUCCCCAGCUUCCCACGGUCCCUUCAGUUGGAUUUCACUCUGCACCUUGAGCCUGCAGCAAAACCAACCUUUUCU